rnacentral:rRNA from 1 species
CCUACGGGGGGCAGCAGUGAGGAAUAUUGGUCAAUGGACGAGAGUCUGAACCAGCCAAGUAGCGUGAAGGAUGACUGCCCUAUGGGUUGUAAACUUCUUUUAUAUGGGAAUAAAAUGUUCCACGUGUGGGACUUUGUAUGUACCAUAUGAAUAAGGAUCGGCUAACUUCGUGCCAGCAGCCGCGGUAAGACGGAGGAUCCGAGCGUUAUCCGGAUUUAUUGGGGUUAAAGGGAGCGUAGGUGGAUUGUUAAGUCAGUUGUGAAAGUUUGCGGCUCAACCGUAAAAUUGCAGUUGAAACUGGCAGUCUUGAGUACAGUAGAGGUGAGCGGAAUUCGUGGUGUAGCGGUGAAAUGCUUAGAUAUCACGAGGAACUCCGGUUGCGAAGGCAGUUCACUGGACUGCAACUGACACUGAGGCGCGAAAGUGUGGGUAGCAAACAGGAUUAGAUACCCCUGUAGUC